UCUGAUUACUUCACGCAGGAAGCAAUCCAACAGUCUGCCGCUUUCUCUCUCUUGCUUAGGCCAUGUUUAGUUCCCUCCAAACUCCCAACUUUGACACUAUGCAAAAAGAAGAUUCCCCAUCACAUCAAACUUGCGGUACAUGCAUGGAGUACUAAAUGUAGACGAAAUCAAAAACUAAUUGCACAGUUUUGUUGUACUUUACGAGACGAAUCUUUUGAGCCUAAUUAGUCAAUAUUUGGAUAAUAACUCACAAAUACAAACGAAACGCUACAGUUGUGCAUUUAUGGCAAAAUGCCAAUUUUGCUACUCCCAAAUUGGGAACUAAACAAGGCUUUAAUUCUUCACCGGACAAGCAAGGAGCUUGCUCUUCUUUCCAAAUCCGGACAAGCACCGCACCAGCCCGACGAGCGGAGCAUCAGGCUGGCGCGAGCGGAGCAGCAGCCCGGCCCCGGCCAGCUGCAGCGGCGCAGCCCGAGGCCCCGCGGCCUGCAGUACCGGCGCGGCAUGGAGCGUGGCGGCGGCGGCGCCUGCAGUCCCCUAUCCAUUUUCGCCGGAGAUUAGGGCCGGCGGCGCCGAAUCCACAGGGGCGGCAUCCAAUCGAGGAGGGGGCGACGAGAGGAGGGGAGGAGGCGACGGGAGAAUUCUCUAUGAGAAGUCGUGAAACAGAGUUUUUUGAGCACCCUUAGAGGUAUAAAGAAAAAGUA
rnacentral:lncRNA from 1 species